rnacentral:lncRNA from 10 species
GCCACUGGUGCUCUCUAUCUGAUGCAGCCAGACUGAAGUAUGAGCAACACUGCCUGGGGGUGAGCAGUGCACACACUGCACCACUGUCCGGGGAGGCUCUGAGUCAGAGUCAAAGCAAAGGCCUGAGAGCUCCCAUCAGAGAGGUCCCAUCUCUUGGGCUGGGCUGGGUAUGUGGUGAAAAUGGAGGCAGGAGGGUGACUCGGAACCUGGACAGCAGUGAUGGGUCCCCAUCCAUGGACACUGGAAUUUAGGGUGGAAGACUGGCAUUUGGAAAGGCAGGCUGACUUCGCUGGACUGACAGCUGGACAGAGAGCUGGCUCGGCCUUCCUUGGUGUGGGAACUGCCUGGGAGACUCAGCAUAAAGGAGCAGAGGUGGAUCGCUCCUGCAGGCAUGUGGUUCCCAAAACAGAAAAGGGGACAGUCUCAUCCUGCAAGUGUGGCUUUCUCAGGAAAUCAGUAAUGCACUCUUCAUGCUGCCUUAGCCAAGACUCAAAGUCAUCCUGAGCACCAGGUCCCGCAAAGUCUUGGAAAACCCACGAAUAAGCAAUGAAUGCUCUGGGUAACUUUGUUCAAAGACCAGCUGUGUCUUUUUUUUUUUUUUUCCAUGUUUUCAGCUUCUCUUCAGUGAAACUCAUUUUGCAAGGUGGGGGAAGGGAAGCUUGCCAUGAGCCUGAAAAGUGGGGAGCAAACGAGGCAGGCCCAGAUUGGUGAUGCCCCUAGCUCCCAGCAGAAGCAAAUCCUCUGUGGACAAAAGCCUCAGCAGACAGCUUUGGGAUUGCCUCAUAUUACAUGCAGAUUAACAGGAAUUCAAAAUUAAUUACAAAACAUGCAAAGAAGUAGGCUGCUAUGAGUGAGAGUCAGCAGCAAACAACAGAAUUCCCCAAGUUUCUUAAUGAUGGGAAUUAUACGUGGACUAAAAAAUCACCAUUUUUAUUUGGAGAAAUAAAAGCUAGAUUAAAAAUAACCAGAAAUAGAGGGUGGAGGAGACAGGACAGGAGGUGGAUUUUGGUACAAACUUUCAGUCAUAAGUUGAAUAGAUUCUGGACAUCUAAUGCACAACAUGAUAACUGUAGUUAAUAGCAAUGUAUUGUAUACUUGAGGUUUGCUGAGAGUAGAUCUGACACUGUUCUCACCACACACACACACACACACACACACACACAAAUACACACACACAAAGAUGAAGUAAUGGAUAUGUUCAUUGUGGUAAUCAUUUCACAAUGUAUAUGUAUACAAAAACAUCACAUUUU